rnacentral:rRNA from 1 species
UACGUCGGGUGCGAGCGUUGUCCGGAAUUAUUGGGCGUAAAGGGCUCGUAGGCGGUUUGUCGCGUCGGGAGUGAAAACACCGGGCUUAACUCGGUGCUUGCUUUCGAUACGGGCAGACUAGAGGUAUGCAGGGGAGAACGGAAUUCCUGGUGUAGCGGUGAAAUGCGCAGAUAUCAGGAGGAACACCGGUGGCGAAGGCGGUUCUCUGGGCAUUACCUGACGCUGAGGAGCGAAAGUGUGGGGAGCGAACAGG